GGUGAGUACUGGAUAUUUUCUGUUUUCCUAUUCUACAGUCGGAUUUACUAACAUCGCUUCUGGAUUUACUAAUCUCGCACCUGGGAAAGGAUUAAAUGUAUCCACUGGUAAGUGGUACAUUUAACCCAUUUCUGCUGAGUUUCCUGUUAAGGGAUUCUUCGCACGAGUCUUGCCUGCAAUCAAAUGAGACUUUUUAACUGUAUGCAACCUGUUAAAAAGUUUGGAGAUAUGACACGUGGAUUGUCCGGAGUUUUUAAUCCGGAACAAAUAAAAAGCUU
rnacentral:lncRNA from 1 species